UUUCAAUUCUUCUUUUCAAAUUAUGUUUCGAGCUUGAUUCAGGUACAUUGACUCUCUUUUUUUCAAAUUAUGUUUAGAGUUUGAUUUAAGUGCAUUGACUCUCUCUCAUGUAAGGAGCGUGCACAUAAUGUACGUUCAUUCAGUAUGAUCAUAUCAGAAGACGAGGACAUGCCGCUCGGCAACUGAGGAAUAGGGACAAGCCUAAACACCUUGUUACAACGGCAGAUGGCCAUUCACAAAAUGUGUAUAUUUUUUUGCAUGAAGGGAAGCUGGGCCUUGUAGUUAAUUAUCAAUAAUCGUAAUGGCUGUAGUCAAACAAUGAUCGAGCAAUGUGUCCUUUGUUUAAUAUCAAAUGGGUUUAUUACUUGCAUUACAUAUUGCAUUGCACACACCACUCCUAUAAAUUCCAAUCAUCAUUUAUAUAAAGAUUUGCAAGUUACCCUGUGAAGCUUUUCUUGGACUUACUUCAUUUCCCAGCAGUCUUGCGGGGUCCCCCCUCCCUAUCUCGCGCCUUCCCUCUUGUCUCACCUCAAGUUGCUAUCGGUGUUGUUUUUGAAGCUAUGAUGGCGGCAGCGGGAUGCGGAUCAGCAACCGCGGCUGCCAUAGGAGGCCAAGUUGGCACUGCUGCACCCCGAGGUCGCUUCCCUGGUCGGCCUUGGUCGUCUCGCAGCCGCUUGCGUUCUGAGAAGCGUUGGCAACUCGACCGAUCAGGGGCAGAAGCUGACGAUGUGACUAAUGUUGGAGGCCCAAGGCCCUCAAGCCUGGUACUAGCGUUAAACGAGGACCAGUCUCACUUGCGCUUACUUGGGAUAGAGUCGAACCACAAGAACUUAGCGGAGGCUGGGUACAGCUCAAGUGGGAGCGAAGAGGGAGAUGAUUUCACAGGAUUUGAAUCUGAUCGUAAAGGAUAUAAAGGCCCCGUACGGUCCAGACAUAAUCCCUCCAAAAGUAAGUAUUAGCUUAUUCUAAACCUAUUCCCAUCUCUUGCCACCUAUCUAUUAUUCUUGGGCGAAAUUGAGAUUUUCAUACCGUUAUUCUGCCAUCCCAGGAUUUACGGUAUAACUGGUAUAGCACAGAAGGGGCUCAAAACGCAAAAAAGGCCCAUUGGCAGUCUGUUACCAGAUUUCCAACAAAAUUAGCAAAAUUAGCUAAAUGCUAACGAGCGCAAACGAACAAACUAGAGGUAGACCGAUUUAUGAUUUCUCAAUGCCGAUGCCGAUUUAUUGGAGGGCCAAAAAACGCCGAUGCCGAUUUAAUCGGCCAUUUUUAAAUGUUUUAUUUAUUUAUAUAUA
rnacentral:lncRNA from 8 species